UAUGUACUUGAAUUCAUGUUAUUAAUUUAGCAAGCCAUUAAUGUUGACUUGUCAAACUCUUUGCCCUGACAAAGACAAAGUGGACAAUCUUAAAACUC